rnacentral:rRNA from 1 species
AACGAACGCUGGCGGCAGGCCUAACACAUGCAAGUCGAGCGCCCUUUCGGGGGAGCGGCGGACGGGUGAGUAACGCGUGGGAAUAUGCCCUUCUCUACGGAAUAGCCUCGGGAAACUGAGAGUAAUACCGUAUACGCCCUUUGGGGGAAAGAUUUAUCGGGGAAGGAUUAGCCCGCGUUGGAUUAGGAAGUUGGUGGGGUAAUGGCCUACCAAGCCGACGAUCCAUAGCUGGUUUGAGAGGAUGAUCAGCCACACUGGGACUGAGACACGGCCCAGACUCCUACGGGAGGCAGCAGUGGGGAAUCUUAGACAAUGGGGGCAACCCUGAUCUAGCCAUGCCGCGUGAGUGAUGAAGGCCUUAGGGUUGUAAAGCUCUUUCAGCUGGGAAGAUAAUGACGGUACCAGCAGAAGAAGCCCCGGCUAACUCCGUG